UUUAGCAUCGAGGUUGUGGAUCAUGGAAACAAGCGAGUUAUAAUGACACCAUGCCUUGAGACCAGAAGAAACAAAACAAUAACAAGACAUGGACAGCACUCAAGUAUGUAAAAGCAGAGAUUUUAUUUAAUUAUAGCAUGAGAUUGAGCUAAUAUAAAUGAGAGUCUAUCAUAAUGAAUAAAACGAUAGAGAGGAUAACCANNNN
rnacentral:lncRNA from 1 species